rnacentral:lncRNA from 1 species
UAAAACUUAUUUUACCUGUUUCCUAUAUCAGACAGAGCUUGUUCCUUUGAAUCUAUCUUUUGAAGAACAAAUUUAAAUCCGACUUGAUUUUUUUUCUAGAACAACUUUAUGAAAAAGUGUGUAAGUGUUAACAAAAGUGUCAUUAAAAAUAAUUAAGAAAAUUGUGUGUAGGCCAAUUACAAUAAAUAAAUAACUUGAAAGAGUGAGAAAAAAGAAUGAAAAGACAACUUGAUAAUGAAAUAAUAAUACACACUGCAGGAAAGCCAGUUAAUUGAAGGUUUGUCAUGACCAGUGAAUGCUACUUGUAAAUCCUCUUGAGAAAAUAAUAGCCUGCUAAAAGAAGAAAAAUAAUCAAGAGAACAAGAUUGCAGAGAAGUAUAAAUUAGCAUAUAUUUGAUCUAUGCAUUGUCAAAAUAUAAUGAUCUUCUUAGCUCAUAAUAGAAGACAACAUAUCUAAAUGGACUGGUUAAUUUAAUCUAACUUAUUGCUCCAAAAUAUUAUAGCAGCCCUAAUUAAACUUUUCCUGUGUGUAUCAGGCCAUCUCCUUUUCUAGACAGCUGAUAAGCAGUUUCAUUUUAAAAUUACACCCGUUUAGAGAAUGCCCCAUCUUUGCUUUUCUUCAGAAUUUCCAUGAGUGAGCUGUCAUACAGCAGCAAUGUAGAGUGUUAGAGGACAUGUCAGAACUCUGAGAUAGCUACUCAGACCAGAAUGAGAAUGAAGAUAUCAUGAUCCUCAGGAGACCAAGCUCCCACAUUUUUGUUGCACCAACAUUAACAACAAUUGUUGCUCAUGAAGCAGGUUGCUUGCUUAGGCUCCUGAUUCCAACAUUUAUAUGCCUUCUAGGCAACAGGAAGAAGAAAAGAGAAAAAGAGAAUGAGAAGAGUAAGUUUUUUUCUAUUCAAGUACAAUUCCAGUUAGUUUCUUGCACCACUUUAUGUUAUACACACCAUACCCCAAAAUCAACUCAAGAUGAAUUAAAGAAUGAAAUUUAAAACCCCAAACUGUAAAAACCCUGGAAGACAAUCUAAGAAAUCCCAUCUGGGUCUUAGGAAUGGGAAAAGAUUUCAUAACAAAGACACCAAAAGCAAUUGCAACCAAAACAAAAAUUGACGAAUGGGAUCUAAUUAAAUUUAAGGUCUUCUGUACAGCUAAAGAAACUAUCAACAGAGUAAACAAACAUCCUACAAGAUUGGAGAAGAUAUUUGCAAACUAUACAUCUGACAAAGGUCUAAUAUCCAGCAUCUAUAAGGAACUUACAAAUUUACAAGAGAAAAACAAACAGCCCUGUUAAAAAGUGAGCAAAACACAUGACAUACAUUCUCAAAAGACUACAUACAUGCAUCCAACAAGCAUAUGAAAAACCACUCAGUAUCAUUGAAUAUUAGAGAAAUGCAAAUCAAAAUAACAAUGAGAUAUCAUCUCACACCAGUCAGAAUGGUAAUUAUUAAAAAACUAAAUAACAACCGACCCUGGUGAGGUUAUGUCAAAAAAGGAGCACUUAUAUACACUCUUGGUGGAAGUGUAAAAUAGUUCAACCAUUGUGGAAAGCAGUAGUCAAUUCCUCAAAGAGCUAAAAGCAGAAAUACCAUUUGACCCAGCAAUCCCAUUACUAAGCAUAUACCCAGAGGAAUAUAAAGCACCAGGGAUCCCAUUACUGAGCAUAUACCCAGAGGAAUAUAAAGCUUUCUACCAUAAAGACACAUGCACAUGAAUGUUUAUUGCAGCUCUAUUCACAAUAGCAGAAACAUGGAAUCAACCUAAGUGCCCAUCAAUGACAGAUUAGAUAAAGAAAAUGUGAUACAUAUACACCACGGAAUACCAUGCAGCCAGAAAAAAAUGAUGAAGUCAUUUCUGUUGUGGAAACAUGAAUGGAGCUGGAGGCGCUUAUCCUUAGCAAACUGACACAGGAACAGAAAUCCAAAUACUGCAUGUUCUCACUUAUAAGUGGGACCCAAAUGAUAAGAACUUAUGAACACAAAGAAGGAAACAACAGACACUGGAGUCCACUUGAUGGGGGAGGGUGGGAGGAGGUAGAGGACCAGAAAUUGUAACUACUGGGUACUAAUCUCAGUACCUGGUUGAUGAAAUAAUCUAUACAACAAAACCCAUGACACAUAUAACAAACCUUCACAUGUUAAAAAUCAACAUUUUUAAAGAAAUGUAGUUUCUUUAUGUAGGGCUCAAUUUAGUAACAUGCACUCACUCAGAAUAAGAUAAUGUCUAAUUAAUUAAGCAAUACAAAUUUGUGAUUAUUAUACCCACAUUUGUUUCUCUAAUAGAUAUUUUAAAUUGAUUGAGAGUGAAUGAACCCUGCUAUUGAACACAUCCUUAUUUAUCCAGAUAAUUUGCCUUUCUUUGCUACGAAAAUUGAUUUGUGCCUUUCUUAUUCACUGAGCAAAUUAAGAAGAAAAUAUACUUGCUGAAAUGAUAAAAAUUCCAAUAAUUCAUUAUAAACGUUAUGAUAUUGUAUCACAACACUUCUAACUCAUGUCUCUGACACCUGUCUCUAAUUCUUACUCUCCCUUUCUUUCUAAUAUUAAAAGUCUACUAGAUUGAUCAUCCAAAAUUAAUUAUGAUUUUGGCUGCCAGAAUCAUCUCACCAAUAAAUCAAAAUUCUUGAGGGCUAUGGAAAAAACUACUGAGGCAAUUUCUGAAAAAAAAUAUGAAUAUAUUUGAUUAGUCUCAUGACACCAUUCAUACUGUGAAAUCAGGCAAAGUAUUAGCCUAUCACCAAAAGAGAAA